rfam:Schistocephalus solidus strain NST_G2 genome assembly, scaffold: SSLN_scaffold0010870
GGCCUCGUAGCUCAGUUGGCUAGAGCGUUGGCUGUGCGAAAGCCUUCCCUUGUUGCGUGGGUUCGAAUCCCACCGAGGCCA